AUUGAACGCUGGCGGCAUGCCUAACACAUGCAAGUCGAACGGCAGCACAGUAAAGAUUUCGGUCUUUAUGGGUGGCGAGUGGCGGACGGGUGAGUAAUGCGUAGGAAUCUGUCCUGGAGAGUGGGAUAACCCGAGGAAACUCGGGCUAAUACUGCAUGAUAUCGAGAGAUCAAAGGCAGGGGACCCUUCGGGGCCUUGCGCUCUAGGAUGAGCCUACGUCGGAUUAGCUAGUUGGUGGGGUAAAGGCCUACCAAGGCGACGAUCCGUAGCUGGUCUGAGAGGAUGACCAGCCACACUGGGACUGAGACACGGCCCAGACUCCUACGGGAGGCAGCAGUGGGGAAUCUUUGACAAUGGGGGAAACCCUGAUCCAGCGAUGCCGCGUGUGUGAAGAAGGCCUUCGGGUUGUAAAGCACUUUAGUUGGGGAAGAAAAGUAAUGAGUGAAUAACUGAUUGCUCUGACGGUACCCAAAGAAUAAGCACCGGCUAACUCUGUGCCAGCAGCCGCGGUAA
rnacentral:rRNA from 1 species